rnacentral:lncRNA from 1 species
GAAAUUGUGCAGGUUUGUCCCAGGGCAUUGGUUUUCCCUUUCAUAUCAUGUAUAGCUCCAUGGUGAUGCUUCCUGCUCCUGUUUCUUUCACUUCCUCUUCAUCAAGCCUCCUUUCAGAUAUAGUUCAUUCACAUUUACAUUAAGCUCUCUAAAAUUGUAGUUACUGGAUGCAUACAAAACUCUGAGGUGCCAUAUACGGCAGGGAAAAUAAAUGUUGCUGUGCUUUAUUACAAAGAACAAGGAGCAAAGACAAGGGCAUGGGAUAAAUAAGGAUAUAUACAUAUCGGCUAUUCUCCUGCAGAGGAACAAGUAAAUCCCUGAAUCCAGAAUGGAAAUGAUACACUUCUUGAAAGAGGUAAGAAUUUGGCCCAGCCCUGAUCAAUGUUUAUGAUUUUUGUGGGAAAAAUCAAAGGAAAAUAAAACACAUACCCAAAAUACUAAGAAUAAAGG